GAUGAACGCUGGCGGCGUGCCUAAUACAUGCAAGUCGAGCGAACGGACGAGAAGCUUGCUUCUCUGAUGUUAGCGGCGGACGGGUGAGUAACACGUGGAUAACCUACCUAUAAGACUGGGAUAACUUCGGGAAACCGGAGCUAAUACCGGAUAAUAUUUUGAACCGCAUGGUUCAAAAGUGAAAGACGGUCUUGCUGUCACUUAUAGAUGGAUCCGCGCUGCAUUAGCUAGUUGGUAAGGUAACGGCUUACCAAGGCAACGAUGCAUAGCCGACCUGAGAGGGUGAUCGGCCACACUGGAACUGAGACACGGUCCAGACUCCUACGGGAGGCAGCAGUAGGGAAUCUUCCGCAAUGGGCGAAAGCCUGACGGAGCAACGCCGCGUGAGUGAUGAAGGUCUUCGGAUCGUAAAACUCUGUUAUUAGGGAAGAACAUAUGUGUAAGUAACUGUGCACAUCUUGACGGUACCUAAUCAGAAAGCCACGGCUAACUACGUGCCAGCAGCCGCGGUAAUACGUAGGUGGCAAGCGUUGUCCGGAAUUAUUGGGCGUAAAGCGCGCGUAGGCGGUUUUUUAGUCUGAUGUGAAAGCCCACGGCUCAACCGUGGAGGGUCAUUGGAAACUGGAAAACUUGAGUGCAGAAGAGGAAAGUGGAAUUCCAUGUGUAGCGGUGAAAUGCGCAGAGAUAUGGAGGAACACCAGUGGCGAAGGCGACUUUCUGGUCUGUAACUGACGCUGAUGUGCGAAAGCGUGGGGAUCAAACAGGAUUAGAUACCCUGGUAGUCCACGCCGUAAACGAUGAGUGCUAAGUGUUAGGGGGUUUCCGCCCCUUAGUGCUGCAGCUAACGCAUUAAGCACUCCGCCUGGGGAGUACGACCGCAAGGUUGAAACUCAAAGGAAUUGACGGGGACCCGCACAAGCGGUGGAGCAUGUGGUUUAAUUCGAAGCAACGCGAAGAACCUUACCAAAUCUUGACAUCCUUUGACAACUCUAGAGAUAGAGCCUUCCCCUUCGGGGGACAAAGUGACAGGUGGUGCAUGGUUGUCGUCAGCUCGUGUCGUGAGAUGUUGGGUUAAGUCCCGCAACGAGCGCAACCCUUAAGCUUAGUUGCCAUCAUUAAGUUGGGCACUCUAAGUUGACUGCCGGUGACAAACCGGAGGAAGGUGGGGAUGACGUCAAAUCAUCAUGCCCCUUAUGAUUUGGGCUACACACGUGCUACAAUGGACAAUACAAAGGGCAGCGAAACCGCGAGGUCAAGCAAAUCCCAUAAAGUUGUUCUCAGUUCGGAUUGUAGUCUGCAACUCGACUACAUGAAGCUGGAAUCGCUAGUAAUCGUAGAUCAGCAUGCUACGGUGAAUACGUUCCCGGGUCU
rnacentral:rRNA from 1 species